rfam:Otolemur garnettii contig128876, whole genome shotgun sequence.
GCUGGGCACAGUGGCUCACUCCUGUAGUCCCAGAUACUUGGGAGGCUGAGGCAGGAAGAUUUCUUGAGCCCAGGCAUUCUGGGCUGUAGUGCACUAUAUCAGUCAGGUGUCCUUGUGUUCAGCAUCAGUAUCGUGACCUCUUGGGAGUGGGGUACCACCAGGUAGGAGUAAACUGGCCAAGGUUGGAAACAAAGCAUGUCAAAACUACUGUCCUGAUCAGCAGUGACAUUGUGCUUGUGAAUAGCCAUUGUGUUCCAACCUGGGUAACAUAGCAAGACCCAUCUCUA